GCCAGGCAUGAGUGUGCAGGGAGGGAGGGAUCCCUUUUCACAGGCCCAGGGAAAUGCAAUUUUCUAUCCUUGGAAUUUGACGGUAUAAGGAAGAAGAACAAAAUAAAAGGCAUCUCCCUGCUGUGGAGGAAUGUAGCAUCAGGUUGAAAAAUAGAUUCUGGGAGAUCCCAGGAUGCAAAGAAGCCCAGAAGCUGCCAUGGGGAGCUCAGAUGUCCUCCAAAAGGGUGGGUCACCGACUGAGCCUUAAAGGAGGAGGCAGUACCAAUUCUUCAUCUUCAAAUGAGAAAAGGAAGGCUUGAAGAGGAAAGAGAUUUAGCCAAUGUACCCCAGUUAACAGUAUUUGGGGUACAUGGAGCUACUGUCGUCACUAUGGAGAGCUAAGUGCCAAGGGACUUGGACUUUCUCCAGGGUCCUCUGCACGAUGAAACAUGGCCGGAUCUGCAAUGGGAAGACUCAGGCUGAUACAGGUGGGAGUUUGUGUCUCUGAAGGAUGCAUGAUGCUAGAAAGAUUGCAUACAGCCAGACGCGGUGGCUCACACCUGUAAUCCUAGCACUUUGGGAGGCUGAGGCAGGCAGAUCAUGAGGUCAAGAAAUUGAGACCCUCCUGGCCAACAUGGCGAAACCCCGUCUCUACUAAAAAUACAAAAAUUAGCUGGACGUGGUGGUGCGUGCCUGUAAUCCCAGCUACUCGGGAGGCUGAGGCAGGAGAAUCACUUGAACCCAGGAGGCAGAGGUUGCAGUGAGCUGAGAUCGCGCCACUGCACUCCAGCCUGGGCAACAGAGUGAGACUCCAUCUCAAAAAAAAAAAAAGGUUGCACGCAAGGGCUCCUUCCUUGAAGAUCUUCUCUAAGUUGGACACUGCCUAGUCUAGAAUGAAUUAGGUCCAUCCUGGCUAGAGUUAUGAGAAGGGCUAUGCCUUCUGAACGACCUGCUUGGUCCCCAAACUGCCCUCACAUCAAGGUUCACUCAAUGUGGAAUGCUGUUUCCCUGAGAAUGUGCAUGGGCUCUACAGCCAUCCUCAGGGAAUGACACGUGUCUUUUUAUGCAGGACUUAUCAUAACCUUGAUCUUGCAAAUAUUCAAGACACAUGUCCAAGUGCAGGCUCAUUUGAACGUUUCAUCAGUGGAACACCUCUAUCCAUCUCACGCCAUAGGGUCUCUCUCAACACCACCUGGGCAAACAAUCCAAGGGCCUGGGGACAAAAUGUUUAUCACAGGGGGAUGGGGAGAUUUAGCCACUGGAAAGAAGGACCAUUUUUAACCUAGCCGUUCCCACAAGGGAAACACACUUUCCAUUUCCUCUUUCUCUUAACGAAUUCUUAACUUCCUCUAGGUUCCCUUUUAGGAGGACCCUAAUUUGUUGUUACAAAUGCUCCCAUUAAAGUCAAAAUCCAGUUCAUAAGGCACCUUCACUUCCUCUAUCUCUUAGCGCUACUUUUCUAAUAAGGAACUCAUCCUAAAACUGGGAAUCAUGACAGCCAAAUUUCAUGGCGCAUUUGUCUGCGCUGAAUAUUUUAUCUGGAUUCUCUACUUUAAUUCAUUCACAUUUCCCUUCAGUUAAUUCUACUUUGAGUCACUCUCUGCCCACCCACCAUCCCUCAAGAAGAGUGUUAUAUCUCCACCCCUUGAAGCAGGUCAUAUGGGAAGGGAGUAGCAAAGCUAAAAACAUAAUGCAGACUCUGUCCCCAACCCAAGGGCUAACCCCACGAGUUCUCACUGGAAGCAUGAACCCUACUAUGUAUUUCACCUGAGACCUCCAAGUGCUCACUUGUGGAAGUAAAUGAACCCAAGCACUCUGUGGCUGUUGCUUUGCUCAACCCUGUGAAGGUGUUGCAAAAUUCAAUAUGUACCAUGUUUCCUUUAGUACUCACUAGGCAAUUUACAUACAUUAUCAGGGAUCCUCCCAACCACCUGCACAAACAGAUACUCCUGCCCUCAUUUCAGAAAAGAGGAUUCUGAGGGUCAGAGAAGCUCACCGGUCUACAUGGAUUUGAACCCAGAUCUGUCUGGAUUUAAUGUCGUUUUUUCUGAGGUACCAUACUCCUUCACCUGUAUAGAUGAAUAAACUGACCAAGGAAUUGAUUUUUUGUUUUUUAAAUGAGCUCAUAAUAAAAUCCAGGAGGAAUGGUUACAAGAUAGACCUGAGACUGUUCUCAGAGUGCCUGGGCAGUUUCCAGCCUUUACUUCACAGCAUUGCGCCAACCUCAGCUUCUCCUAGAGUAGGGUUGCCAGAUAAAUACAGGACACCCAGUUAAAUGUGAAUUUCAGAGAAACAGUGAAUAAUGUUUGAGUAUAAGUAUGUUCCAUGUAGUUCAUGAGACAUAUUUGUAGUGAAAAAAAAAACCAUUGAGUGCUUAUCUGAAAUUCAAAUCUGAGUGUCCCGUGCUUUUAUUGGCUAAAUCUGGCAAUCUCUUCCUGCUGGGAAGUCUCCUGCCUGGCUCCAGGUCCCAAGUGUUGCUCCAACAGAAGUUGCCAUGGCAGCCUGGCAGGCCUUCCAAAGCCUUCUAGAGCAGUCUCCACUCACCCCUGCAGCUUCCCCUCGCCCCUGCACGCUCUAGGUUCCCAACAAGCCCAGCUACUUUCAUUUUCCUGGAUGCCGCCCGCUGCUUCCAGCCUCCUGCUGCUUUUAGCCUCCAGUCUCUGCACUUGCUGUUCUUUCCCCUCUUCUCUUGUGCUAAUUUCUAGUCAUCCUUCAGCUCUCAAUUUGGAGUCACUUCUGCCAGGACGCCCUCCUGGCCAUUGCUGACUGGCUCCCCCCACAGCCCUCUAGUGCAGGGUUGGAUAGUACCCUGCACCUUCCCCUGGCAGCCCUCCCUCAACCACCCGGUAUCCCACACUGCCCUGGUGAGCAGAGGCCAUGCCACACUCACCUUGUCCCCACACCUUGCACCUGGCCGCAGGUGGGAAGCCAGUGAGUGCCUCCUGAAUGGAUGACUGCAGACUGUCCCACCAAUGCUGGGGCUCUCCAGUGUGACUACUUCCUUCCUCCCUUCUGUCUUUAGUCACUUUUUCAUCAGUGUCCUCCUCCCCCUCCCCCAGAGUGGUUGGGAAAGACAGGGCCUUCAGCAACAGCACUUGGGGUGAACAGAGAGCAUCCCACGUAGAGGGGCCUCCCAGCACCCACCACCACAUCACACCACGUGCACUGCCCCAGUGGGCUCAGACCCAGCCACAGCGCAGCUUCCGAGUUCCUCCUGGCUAAAGCCACCUCUAGGCACAACUUUCUGCUCUUGUCCUUCUGCUGGCUCCUUAAAUGAGCGGACUUGGAUUUUGCUCCCAGUUUGGGGUAUAGGGAGAUGCCAGUGUCAUGUGGUCGAGGCUUAGGGCAGGUGGCAGGGCUUGCAGAACAUCACCCAUAUGCCGCUCCACGCUCACCCACCCAAAGCGGUGCCCACGCGCAGCCUGACAGCAGGCAGAGGCAGCUCUGAACUUAACCCUUGAGUGGCACUCAGGAGGCGGCUUCUCAAGAUACCAGAAUGGCCAGUGUUAACUACACACACACACACACACACACACACACACACACAUACACACGAGCUCCCCUGUGCCCCAGAACACCCUUGCUUUCCUCCAGCCAGGGCUUGAUUCAGAAGAUGACCUCUCAGGUGCAAGGAGUGGCUGCAGGAGAGUCAGGGUGGGCUGGGGGUGAGACUAUAACCCCUGGGGCUGCGGAAGGGCCCGGGAGGGAGCGGGGAGCGGGGGCAGGAGCUGAAACCCCGUGGCUCCCUAACCUGAGCUUUAGAGGCAGCAGCCUGGCUGUGCCCUCACACCGUCACCCCUAGCCUCCCCCAGCCUCCCCUGUCUGAAUAUGUUGAGAGGACAAAGAGGGAGAAACACCCUAUAGUGUCAAAUUUACUCCAAAAAUAGAACCCCUCUUCCCCGCGGAAGGCUGGCGAGCUCCGGGCAUGUGCACAGCACCCACGGCUCCGAUUUCCUGGGUCUGGCCGUUUCUCCGGGAACUCCCAGCUCAGGUGCCCAGGAUCCCGGAAUUGUCCCCAACCCCUGCCACCCGGUCAAGCCUCCAACU
rnacentral:lncRNA from 10 species